rnacentral:rRNA from 1 species
UUUGAUCCUUGCUCAGAUUGAACGCUGGCGGCAGGCUUAACACAUGCAAGUCGAGCGGAGAUGAGGUGCUUGCACCUUAUCUUAGCGGCGGACGGGUGAGUAAUGCUUAGGAAUCUGCCUAUUAGUGGGGGACAACAUUCCGAAAGGAAUGCUAAUACCGCAUACGUCCUACGGGAGAAAGCAGGGGAUCUUCGGACCUUGCGCUAAUAGAUGAGCCUAAGUCGGAUUAGCUACUUGGUGGGGUAAAGGCCUACCAAGGCGACGAUCUGUAGCGGGUCUGAGAGGAUGAUCCGCCACACUGGGACUGAGACACGGCACACACUCCUACGGGAGGCAGCAGUGGGGAAUAUUGGACAAUGGGGGGAACCCUGAUCCAGCCAUGCCCGCGUGUGUGAAGAAGGCCUUAUGGUUGUAAAGCACUCCAAGCGACGACGACGCUACUGACACCAAUCCUCUUGGGAUAGUGGACGUCACUCGC